rnacentral:lncRNA from 1 species
GGGAAAUUGAAACCAGAACCUCUUACAUGCUAUGCAAAUGUUCUAUCACUGAUCUACAUCUGAACCUAUAUCUAGAUACAUUUUCAAAGAUAUUUUAAAAUUCUAGAAUAUUCUGUUGCUACCCAGUGAUCAUAACUUGGGUGGGUCUCUAAAGUGAGAAGAUCAUCAUCAACUCUAAGGACAACAAAGGAGCUUGUGACUAAUCACACUGUCCCAGUGUACACAGCAGGCAGGACUGGAUCUAGGGAUCCUGUCAAUCAGCCUCCUGCUCUGCAGCCCAACUCAGUUCUGAGAAGAGGGUCAGAUGUCCAUUCACCGCCUACACUCCAAACAGUGGGGAGGCUAGGGAUAUGCUUUCUGCUCUCUGUGAAGCCACCCCAAUUCCCACAGAGUCACAGUCCCAAACACAAAUCCAGACCCUCUGUUGGAAGGCAGAUGUCCUGAUGUUACUGUGCAACUCCUCAUGCAAUUUACCUUCUCAAGCUCAUUCCAGGAGACACAAACUUCUGACUCCCCUCAGAAUUCAUCUCCAGGGUCUGGGAAUAUCUUUAGCACUGGUGCAAAUUUUACUUUUUAUGGGAUGUAGACAAAAGAAUGUAUUCUGUUUUUUGCCUCAUUUUUGAUGAUAACUGUAGGCCUGAGACACUAUCUAUCCGAUCUUAAC